GACGAACGCUGGCGGCGUGCUUAACACAUGCAAGUCGAACGGUGAAGCUCCAGCUUGCUGGAGUGGAUCAGUGGCGAACGGGUGAGUAACACGUGAGCAACCUGCCCCUGACUCUGGAAUAAGCGCUGGAAACGGCGUCUAAUACUGGAUACGAGAAGGGUCCGCAUGGGCACUUUCUGGAAAGUUUUUCGGUUGGGGAUGGGCUCGCGGCCUAUCAGCUUGUUGGUGAGGUAAUGGCUCACCAAGGCGACGACGGGUAGCCGGCCUGAGAGGGCGACCGGCCACACUGGGACUGAGACACGGCCCAGACUCCUACGGGAGGCAGCAGUGGGGAAUAUUGCACAAUGGGCGAAAGCCUGAUGCAGCGACGCCGCGUGUGGGAUGACGGCCUUCGGGUUGUAAACCUCUUUCAGCAGGGAAGAAGCGAAAGUGACGGUACCUGCAGAAGAAGCACCGGCUAACUACGUG
rnacentral:rRNA from 1 species